ACUCUGAGGCUCAGCUACACCACAGGCUUUAAGGGAAGACAGUGAGCCAGUCAUCUGCUUGAAGCUGGAAGUGUGCCCAACAGAUCUCCUAAGUCAGGGCCGCAUUCAGUACGGAAACAGCCCCAACUUUGCCACUGCCCCUGGUUUCAGCGGAUUAGCCAGGACACGGACUCGGAGCUGUUGUUCUUGAAAGUGGAUGCAUCUCUUGACAGCUCUUCUAGUUAAUAAGCAAUGGACUAUGCAGAGUUCCACCUCUGCAAUGACCACAUCUUAAAUCACUGCCUGCAGUAUCCAUUGUCACCUCCCUUCCACCAUAUCUAAGAUGGUAAUGACAGUCCCAGAUGUGAGAAGCCUGAGCCUCCAAGUCAAGAGUUUUAGUCUCAGCUGUUGGCAAAUUGGAAGUUCUGGACAGGUGUGAGCUGUGGAGGAAAUGGAACCAUCUGUGAAAUCAUGACAUCUGAUAGAAACAUCCAGCCUUCCUCUUGGUUUACUACCUGGGUAAAAAAGAGAAAGAAUGAAACAUUCUCCAGCGCUACAUAGCUUCAGAACAUCCUCUAGAAAAGGAGCAAGCUCUAGAAGUGACUGCACUCUCUACGGUGCUGCGUUACAAAUAGCUCCAGACACAGCUCUGCAGAUGGAAUGUGCCUUGGCUUUUACUGGUUCCUCAUUGUCCUAGGAAACAAGACAUCAAUACUGGAUCUCAGGAACAGAAGGCUUAAUAUCUGAGAUCUCGUAUUAGCAUGACCAGAGCUGGCCAAGCAAGUCAUGAACCCCAGCGAACAUGGAGCUUAAAAUACGUAGAGGUGAAAAAGAGCAAAAAGGAAAAGGAGGCUCAGCAGACAACCAAGGAUGAUGACACAGUGAAGAAACCAUGCAACGCUGUCUGAAGAGAAACAGUUCUUUUAGGGCAGGUCAUCACAGCGAUGUGACCCACUUGUGCUGCCAUUCUGUUUCCUGGAGGAGACAAAGAAGGAGAAGGAUGUGUGAAAAGGUGCCCAAGGAUGUCACUCGCAGCCUUGGAGUUCUGGUCUGUGCUUCGG